AGAGUUUGAUCCUGGCUCAGAUUGAACGCUGGCGGAACGCUUUACACAUGCAAGUCGAACGGUAACGUGGGGAGGAGCUUGCUCCGCCCCGACGACGAGUGGCGAACGGGUGAGUAAUACAUCGGAACGUGUCCGCUCGUGGGGGACAACCAGCCGAAAGGUUGGCUAAUACCGCAUGAGUUCUACGGAAGAAAGAGGGGGACCCGCAAGGGCCUCUCGCGAGCGGAGCGGCCGAUGACUGAUUAGCCUGUUGGUGAGGUAACGGCUCACCAAAGCAACGAUCAGUAGCUGGUCUGAGAGGACGACCAGCCACACUGGGACUGAGACACGGCCCAGACUCCUACGGGAGGCAGCAGUGGGGAAUUUUGGACAAUGGGCGCAAGCCUGAUCCAGCUAUUCCGCGUGUGGGAUGAAGGCCCUCGGGUUGUAAACCACUUUUGUAGAGAACGAAAAGACACCAUCGAAUAAAUGGUGUUGCUGACGGUACUCUAAGAAUAAGCACCGGCUAACUACGUGCCAGCAGCCGCGGUAAUACGUAGGGUGCGAGCGUUAAUCGGAAUUACUGGGCGUAAAGGGUGCGCAGGCGGUUGAGUAAGACAGAUGUGAAAUCCCCGAGCUUAACUCGGGAAUGGCAUAUGUGACUGCUCGACUAGAGUGUGUCAGAGGGAGGUGGAAUUCCACGUGUAGCAGUGAAAUGCGUAGAUAUGUGGAAGAACACCGAUGGCGAAGGCAGCCUCCUGGGACAUAACUGACGCUCAGGCACGAAAGCGUGGGGAGCAAACAGGAUUAGAUACCCUGGUAGUCCACGCCCUAAACGAUGUUAACUAGUUGUUGGGAUGUAACAAUCUCAGUAACGCAGCCAACGCGAGAAGUUAACCGCCUGGGAAGUACGGUCGCAAGACUAAAACUCAAAGGAAUUGACGGGGACCCGCACAAGCGGUGGAUGAUGU
rnacentral:rRNA from 1 species